CCUACGGGCGGCAGCAGGGAGGAAUAUUGGGCAAUGGACGAGAGUCUGAACCAGCCAAGUAGCGUGAAGGAUGAAGGCCCGAUGGGGUGUAAACUUCUGUUAUAUGGGAAGAAAACAGGGUAUGCAUACCCUCUUGUAUGUACCAUAUGAAUAAGGAUCGGCUAACUCCGUGCCAGCAGCCGCGGUAAUACGGAGGAUCCGAGCGUUAUCCGGAUUUAUUGGGUUUAAAGGGAGCGUAGGUGGAUUUUUAUGUCAGUUGUGAAAGUUUGCGGCUCAACCGUAAAAUUGCAGUUGAAACUGGCAGUCUUGAGUACAGUAGAGGUGGGCGGAAUUCGUGGUGUAGCAG
rnacentral:rRNA from 1 species